UGAUGUUCCCAGGGCACGCAGUCUCCCUGCCCAGCUGCCGGGCUGCCUCCCAGGCCUUCAGCUCCUCAUCUGCCCCCUGCUGCACCCACAGCGUUCUGAGGGUGGGCCGCCACGUGGCGGUCACAUCACACCGCGGAGCGUUCCGUCUGUACGCACAGACGUCACUGUGGCCCAGCUUCCCCGUGGGUGGCACAGCGCUGCCCCGACCCGCCGUCGCCGUGCCUCCAGGCUGUCCACCCAGCCUCAGAAGCACAGCUUCCUGUCCUUCACUGGGACUUUGAAGAGUUCAGCAAAAGCUCGGAAAACUGCUCUCGUGCCGUCAUGAUGGUCAUGUGCCAUCUGUGUCCACCAGCAUCAUAACUGCCCUGCGCCAGGCACCAAAGACGUGGAUCCCGGGAAUCUCUUGAAACAUGGGGUUGGACCCACAUCCCUGUCUGCUGGCCUCAGGGGUGCGGGCCCCCUCUUUGAGGCAGGUCGGUGGCUUUUCGACACAGCCUCUGGGUGGUGUCUGGGGGACUCUUGAGACCCCGUCCCAGGUCGACACCCUGGGAGCACUCUGUUGGGAAGACCCUGACCCUGCUCGUCCCGUCUCCCUGGGGUGCUCUCCCUAACUCCGCUGGAGGUCACACACCACAGGAAAGAGCCCCUUAUUAAGUGUCCCUCCUGGUGGACUGUCACAGCGCAAGCACCGAAAGUCCAGCACCAGGUAGGAGGACAGUCCAGCCCCAGGAGCCCAGGGGACUCCAGCCCUGGUCUUCAUCAGUGGCAAUGCUGACCUAGAAAAUAUUUAGCAAUGGCUGGAGGUGUUUGGGGUUGUGACAAUCCUGAGUGAUGCUGCUGUCCCCAGUGGGGCGAGGCAGGGACGUUGCUCUACACCCUGCAGGGCCCAGGGAAGCCACUGCUCAGGCCAGAUGGCUGGGCCUCCUUUGGGCCCACCCCAGGGGCAUGUGGCCGCUGGUCCAAGGUCAGGCUGCAUCUGUGAUGCCCAAAGAUGCCCCCCUGCCUAUGAGGCCCCUCAUGGGGCCACCUUCCUAGACUGGGGCUCUGCACACCCCCCUCUUCCUGCCUGUCUGACCGCCUGAUUCUUCACUGUGGCCUGGUGAGACCGGGAGGGUCUUGGCAGGCGUGAUUUAGGAAGCCAGGAUCUGCUUACCUGGUGAGACCUCCCCAGGAGGACCCAGGACUCCCUCCUCACGAGCUCCAGCCCACCAGACACCGCCCUGCGCAGAGCUGGCCCUUGGUGAGGGAGCCUCGAACUGGGACACCUGCAACCACUCAGGGCCUUAGCGUCCCCUGAGAGUGGCCCUGCUGCCAUGGCUCCCUUCCCGUCCCUGGCUCAGGCCUCCAC
rnacentral:lncRNA from 1 species